GAUGAACGCUGGCGGCGUGCCUAAUACAUGCAAGUCGAGCGAACAGACGAGGAGCUUGCUCCUCUGACGUUAGCGGCGGACGGGUGAGUAACACGUGGAUAACCUACCUAUAAGACUGGGAUAACUUCGGGAAACCGGAGCUAAUACCGGAUAAUAUAUUGAACCGCAUGGUUCAAUAGUGAAAGACGGUUUUGCUGUCACUUAUAGAUGGAUCCGCGCCGCAUUAGCUAGUUGGUAAGGUAACGGCUUACCAAGGCAACGAUGCGUAGCCGACCUGAGAGAGUGAUCGGCCACACUGGAACAGAGACACGGUCCAGACUCCUACGGGAGGCAGCAGUAGGGAAUCUUCCGCAAUGGGCGAAAGCCUGACGGAGCAACGCCGCGUGAGUGAUGAAGGUCUUCGGAUCGUAAAACUCUGUUAUUAGGGAAGAACAAAUGUGUAAGUAACUAUGCACGUCUUGACGGUACCUAAUCAGAAAGCCACGGCUAACUACGUG
rnacentral:rRNA from 1 species